rnacentral:snRNA from 1 species
UGGUGGUUGGAAUCAAAC